ACCUAACAUGCAAGUAAGAGUGAUAGCAGGUGCAACUC
rnacentral:sRNA from 1 species